AUGCCUUUGGUCUCCGUCCUCAUCUGGACUCUCCUCUGCUGCUGCUUCACAGAGUCCAGAGGCCAGGUCACAGUGACUCAGCCUGGAGCAGUGAGCUCUGAUCUGGGAGCCUCCACCACCAUCACAUGUACCACCAGUCAGAAUGUUUAUGCCUCUGACAAUUUAGCCUGGUACCAACAGAGAGAUGGAGAAACUCCUAAGGUUCUCGUUAAAUAUGCCACCACUCGACAAUCAGGGAUUUCCAGUCGUUUUUCAGGCAGUGGAUCAAACUCUCAUUUCACUCUGACCAUCAGUGAUGUUCAGGCUGAAGAUGCAGCAGUUUAUUACUGUCAGAGUUAUCACUAUAUCAACAGUCAGGAAGUGUUCACACAGUGAAAAACAGUCGUACAAAAACCUCCUUCAGACUGAACAGAAACUGAACUGAUUCAGUUCAAUGAACACAGUGUAUGAACAAGCACUAAUACACACAAUAGUUCAAAUG